rnacentral:rRNA from 1 species
GCGGCGUGCUUAACACAUGCAAGUCGCACGAGAACGCUUCAGCUUGCUGAAGCUAGUAAAGUGGCGCACGGGUGAGUAACGCGUGGGUAAUCUACCUCCAAAUUGGGGAUAACAUUGCGAAAGCGAUGCUAAUACCGAAUGAUAUCUCAAAAACUUCGGUUUUUGAGAUCAAAGGUGGCCGCUCCAUGGAAGCUACUGUUAGGAGAUGAGCCCGCGUACCAUUAGCUUGUUGGUAGGGUAAUGGCCUACCAAGGCAACGAUGGUUAGCUGGUCUGAGAGGAUGACCAGCCACACUGGAACUGACACACGGUCCAGACUCCUACGGGAGGCAGCAGUGAGGAAUUUUGCGCAAUGGGGGAAACCCUGACGCAGCAACGCCGCGAGAGUGAUGAAGGCCUUCGGGUCGUAAAGCUCUGUCAAGUGGGAAGAACCUGCCCUGUGCUAAUAUCACCGGGCACUGACGGUACCACUGAAGGAAGCACCGGCUAACUCCGUGCCAGCAGCCGCGGUAACACGGGGGGUGCAAGCGUUAUUCGGAAUCACUGGGCGUAAAGAGCGCGUAGGCGGUCUCUUAAGUCAGAUGUGAAAGCCCGGGGCUCAACCCCGGAAGUGCAUUUGAAACGAAGGGACUUGAGUAUGGGAGAGGGAAGUGGAAUUCCUGGUGUAGCGGUGAAAUGCGUAGAUAUCAGGAGGAACACCGGUGGCGAUGGCGACUUCCUGGACCAAUACUGACGCUGAGGCGCGAAGGCGUGGGGAGCAAACAGGAUUAGAUACCUGGUAGUCCACGCAGUAAACGUUGAACACUAGGUGUAGCGGGUAUUGACCCCUGCUGUGCCGCAGCUAACGCAUUAAGUGUUCCGCCUGGGGAGUACGGCCGCAAGGCUAAAACUCAAAGGAAUUGACGGGGGCCCGCACAAGCGGUGGAGCAUGUGGUUUAAUUCGACGCAACGCGAAGAACCUUACCUGGGUUUGACAUCCCGGGAAUUCUGCGGAAACACAGAAGUGCCCCUCGGGGAGCCCGGUGACAGGUGCUGCAUGGCUGUCGUCAGCUCGUGUCGUGAGA